GACUUCCCUUGAGGUCAUUCCUUAAACAAUCAGAGCUGUUUACAUGGUGGUGUCGUUGUACUAACUAGAGUUAAUGACUCUAACCUAGAGAUGGAAGUGCAUAGAUUAUAUGGAAAUGUGAGUUUUAUUGAAGGGGCUUGAGUGUCCUUGGCUCUUGAUGUCUGGAGGGUUCUAGAACCAAGCCUCAUGGACCCCAGAGAUGGCUUGCUAUUAUAGCCCUUCCUUGGUUGAUGGACAUGUGGUGGUUGGGAUUUUCCCACAGUCAGCAUCCGGACAGUAUUUUUAGAGCAGCCCUGGGUGCCAGGUAUUCUCAGGGCUUGAGGGUGUGGCAACUGUCUGUGUCCUGGCAUUGCUAGCUGGAGAAAGAAAGCGAAGUAAGCUAUUCUUUUCAGAGGAUGGUUCCUGGGGUGGGAAGGCCUGCGCAUGGUUGAAGACACUGGCGAUGAGACUGAAGAGCUGGCAUCUUGUCCUUAUGGUUGUAGCUUGUUUCCUGAGGAUCCGUCCUGCUCUGGAGGGCGUGAUAAGACUGAUGAUGUUUAUUGUUGUGUUCAGUGGUCAGGUUCUGAAGUGACCCGGACUCCCUUUGUCUGCUGGCCUCUCCUGCAUCUUCCUAUCCCUGGGUUCCCUGGACGUCCUGGAGGCUGCCUCCAUCCCCUUCUGUUGUCAUCUGCCUUGUGGUCCUGGGCUGUGGUUGCGGGGAGUGGGUCAGUGGGCUGUCCUUGCAUGGCCUUCUAAUGAGGUUAUGUCUGGGGCAGGAGUGGAGGAAGCACAGACAGCGAGGACGAUGAGGAUGAGGACGAAGAAGAUGAUGACGAGGGGGUUGGCCAUGCAGCCUGUGGAGGGGCUAGUCCCCGCUCCUACUCCAGCCUCAGCCCUCAGCCUCCUGGCCCAAGCUGGACAGCCACCUUUGACCCAGUGCCUAUGGAUGCCCCAAAGGGUCCCCCAAUUUCCAGGGAGGCAGACAUGCCCCCCACCCAGAGCCUGACCAACCCUCCAGCCCAUGAUGCCCCACAGCUCAGGUCUCAGGACCCCACAACCCCCUCAGCACCUCAGGAAGCCACAGAUAGCAGCAAAGUAGCAGAGCCCUUGGACCCCUGCCAGGCCUUGGUUAGUGUCUCGGACCUCCAGGCCACCUUGCACGGGAUGUGUUCUGCCCCCAGCUCUUUGGACAGUGCAACCAUAGACCCCUCUACCUCUGUCCCAACCUCCGGGGCCCAGCAGCCCCCCCAGACCAUGGAGGGGGAAAAGAGCCCAGAGCCCUUGGGGCUUCUCCAAAGCCAGAGUACCCAGGCCCUCGAGAUGCCCAACGGCUCUGCCCCAGGAGGGCCUGUUUCCCCAGGCUCCCAGUAGCUGCCUGGUGGCAGUGGUGGCCAAAUUCUUUGUCCUCCCUGUGGAGCCCCCCAUUGGGGCAGGGUGGAUCCCAUGGUGGCCCCCUGCCACAUUUUCCUGUACCCUACAUUCUGUCCUCUGGUCUCCCAGGAAGGCUGGUACCAGGGAGACUCCCCCACCCAUCCCAUUUGCACUGAGAAGAGAAACUAUGGAGCUUUGUCUCCUAGAAUAAAAGACAGUCACAUAGAGAGAAAGGAGAGAGAGAAAUGUAUAUUAUAUAUUAUAUAUAUAUUGAGGGAGGAGAGAGAGAAAGGAAGCCAGGACAAUAAGUGGGCCCACAGCUCUGAAGCACAACCUCCUCGCCCCAACGGGGACUGGCGCUGGGGUUUGAGGCCACUGUCCCAUGUUCUGGUGCAGAUGCCCACCAGGCCUUUCACUCAGGAUCACCUUGGGGUGUAGCAGCGAGGGCGUUGGGGGCCUAAGUGGCCGAGCCUUCGUCCAGACCUUGUACUUCAGCCAGGCAUCUGGCCCCUGGCCCCAGAGAGCAGGGCUUCCCUGGCAACAUCGCCAGAGGCCGUGAAUCUGGUCUCUGGGUACCUGUGCUCCAAGAGUCCCAGCACUGCUGCCAAGUGGCCUUGUCCCAGCUCCUCCCCAGGCUGGCGUGCGUGUGCGUGUUUGCUGAGCUUGUUUCAUAUUGCAAAUAUAAAUAAAGGAAGACAGCUGAAGACUCCUGGUGUCAGACCUUGAGUUCAAGAUCAGGGUGGGGUGGGCCUGCU
ensembl:lincRNA